GACGAACCGUGCGAACGUUAUUCGGAAUCACUGGGCUUAAAGCGCGUGUAGGCGGACGGGGACGUCGGUCGCUGAAAUCCCCCGGCUCAACCGGGGAACGGGCGCCGAGACGCCCCGUCUCGAGGGACGUAGGGGGACCUGGAACUUCCGGUGGAGCGGUGAAAUGCGUUGAGAUCGGAAGGAACGCCCGUGGCGAAAGCGAGGUCCUGGACGUCUACUGACGCUGAGACGCGAAAGCUAGGGGAGCGAACGGG
rnacentral:rRNA from 1 species